rnacentral:tRNA from 1 species
GCGGGUGUAGCUCAAUGGUAGAGCGGGUGCUUCCCAAGCAUCAUACGAGGGUUCGAUUCCCUUCACCCGCUCCA